rnacentral:hammerhead_ribozyme from 2 species
AUCCAGCUGAGGAGUCCCAAACAGGACGAACCGCGCGUCAAUCUGGAU